ACUUGUUUAGCUCAGUUGGUAGAGCGCAAGACUUUUAGCUUUGUGGUCGUGGGUUCAAGCCCCACGGUUUGCG
rnacentral:tRNA from 7 species